rnacentral:lncRNA from 1 species
GCCUGGGGCUGCUCCUCUGGAGGCUGUGUCAGCUCCAUGGAUACAGGAGAGCCCUGCUGGAGACCCACCCUGUGGGGGUGUGCAGCUGUGACACCACAGCAUCAUUAAUUUGGAUAAUAGGACUGAGCCACAGCAAACCACCCUGGAUUUGCAUAGCUCCAUGCCAUGUUUGUUUUUGCAGUGUUUCUGACAUAAACCCCUUUAGAGCUGCAUAGCUGAGAACCUUUUGGUACUAUGCAUUGUAUCCUGCUUUCUAUGAUAAUAGGAAAAAAAACCUUCUUUAUACGCUCAUGAUUUCAAGUACAUUUGGUUGGUUGGUUUGUAUGCUUGUUUUUCUAAGAAGAGCAAGGAGAAAGCUUUCAUUUUAUAGACAGCUCUGAUGUUUUAGCAUAUAAAUGGAUGAGGUUUUUUGUAUUUUUUCUUUUUCAGGUUUGCCCAUCUAGAGGUUCCAUGACUAUUUGGAAACAGAUGAGCAGACUAAGUUACAGACACUGGGGAAUUACGGUGAACUCUCUAGGAGAGGCACCUUUGUGGUGAUCCGUCUGUUGCAAAUCUCUGCCAACAUGUGCUGAACUGUAUGAAUUAAAUUCUGUAAAAUGUGUUAGGAGAUACAGAGAGCUGGACUCAUGUCCACAGGAUCCACAAGCUUCUGAGUUUCCUGCUCACUGCUGCCAAGACACUGAACCACUUCAUAGGUGUCAGUCCCUGUUGUCAGAGAUCCCCUAUCCAGAUUUGUGGGGUAGAGAGGAAGAGGAGUUCUGUGUUGGUGGAGAGCAAGGAUAAUGAGCCAUGAAGGGUCUCCCCAUUCUUCUUAGCAUUUGGAAAGAAAGAGAAUCUCUGUAGGAACCUACAGAGGUUUGGACUACUCCAAAGGAAAGGCUGAGGUAGAAUUUACAGGAUUGUUUUGGUAAUGCAUGAGAAAGCC